AACGAAGGCCACUUGGCACAUUUGCCACAAGAAUUGCUCCGUUCAGACUGACCUGAAGUAGUAUCAUGGAGAGAGCAUUGAAACAAUGACAGCUUCUGAUAGGUCGUCAGCCUGAGGUCUGUCCUUUAUAAGAGCGACAGAAAGAGGCGAAGAGCAGAGAUUGUUGUCGAGCAACUGACAAAGAUACUACAGCUAAAGGCUUUUUGAGAAGAACCAGCCAACAUGAAGACAGUUCUGUCCGUCGCUUUCCUCGUCGUGGCUCUUUGCCUGGUGUGUGAUGCUGUGGAAGUUAAGGAAGGUGAUUUUUCCUUUACAUUGGAGUCGGUGAGAAUUCUCCAGCAGCUGGCUGAGCAACCGAAGACACAAAACCCUCGGCUGGCCAAGACGAGCUACUAUUCUGUGUGUUCCAAUCCAAGCCUGCCACAAGAGUUUGUUCCCUUGUGCAUGCAGAGAGGAGCUACAAUGUCCUUUGCUAGGCUAGCAUCUGUGCCUGUGGACGUCUGUGAAAUAUGUGCUUUCGCGGCUUGCACCGGCUGCUAAUUCCUCCCGUCCUCCCCCUCGCCUUCAUUAAAGGAAAUCUGCAUAUUUUCAAUCAUUGCCAUAAGUUCACAGAGUUGACCAUAUGAACAUUUGAAUAUUGCCUCAAAGGCAAUCUAAAAAUGGCAGCAGACGGUUGAUGAACUGUUACUUUAACACCCUUCCCCUCUUUUCCUUUCCCAUGUUUUUUUGUUACAGCACAUAUUUCAUUUAUUUAAAAAAGUGUCUUUUUAUUUUUCUAUUUCUCUGGGUUGUGUACUCCUGUGUGUGUGUGGUGAUGCCUCAGUGUUCAAUAAAAUGCAUCAAAUCUGAUCUCUUUUGCAUUGUGUGUGUUAUUUAUAUUGUUGGAAGAGUAUGAUUGAUGUUACAGAGAAGACUUUACAGUCAGUUUGAAGAAAAUUCACACCUUUACAGUUUUUUUCAGUUGCUUUGGUACAUUUCCCAAAUUAGAAUUUGCAAAACUGUUACGCAUAAAAAUAACAAAACAUCAUGGAUUACCUGCAAAAGCCAGUAUCUUGCUCAAAAUAUUAACUUCAUCUCUCAAAACUACAUUUCUGUGUCAAUGAACAAGUUUGUGGCGUCAGAAUGACAAGUCCUUGUGUCAUUGUGUGGUGAGAAGACAGUCAAAUUACUUAGUCAUGUUGUCAACAGUGUACUCUGCAGGGGAGUUCUGAAGUAAACUAUGUAAAUUUGUUUUUGCUGUUUGCACUGUAAUUUGUUGACAGAUCAUGUCAUUGUGGAAAAGGCAUCUGCAUUAGAGAUCUGCGCUGGACUAAAUUUUGAAUCCCGCUCCCGCCAGGUUUUAGC
ensembl:processed_transcript